GGGGAAUAUUGCACAAUGGGCGAAAGCCUGAUGCAGCAACGCCGCGUGAGUGAUGAAGGCCUUCGGGUUGUAAAGCUCUGUCUUCUGGGACGAUAAUGACGGUACCAGAGGAGGAAGCCACGGCUAACUACGUGCCAGCAGCCGCGGUAAUACGUAGGUGGCAAGCGUUGUCCGGAUUUACUGGGCGUAAAGGAUGCGUAGGCGGAUACUUAAGUCUGAUGUGAAAAUCCCGGGCUUAACUUGGGAACUGAAUUUGAAACUGGGUAUCUAGAGUGCGGGGGAGGUAAGUGGAAUUCAUAGUGUAGCGGUGAAAUGCAUAGAGAUUAGGAAGAACACCAGUGGCGAAGGCGACUUUCUGGACCGUAACUGACGCUGAGGCAUGAAAGC
rnacentral:rRNA from 1 species